rnacentral:tRNA from 1 species
CCGCCUGUAGCUCAGCGGAUAGAGCACUGGGCUUCGGACCCAGGUGUCGGGGGUUCAAAUCCCUCCAGGCGGG